AACGCAUAUUGCGCCCUCUGGUAUUCCGGAGGGCAUGCCUGUUUGAGCGUCAUUUCUCUCUCAAACCUUCGGGUUUGGUAUUGAGUGAUACUCUCUUCUGGGUUAACUUGAAAUACUGUGGCAAGAGCUGCUGUUGCAGAUCUCCUCUGAACUAACGUUUCUAGGUUCUACCAAUUCGUUAUGGGCAGUUGAAAUCGGUUUCGGCUUUUAGGCUCGGCCUUUACAAUAUCUCCUAAGUUUGACCUCAAAUCAGGUAGGAUUACCCGCUGAACUUAA
rnacentral:misc_RNA from 1 species